rnacentral:rRNA from 1 species
GAUGAACGCUGGCGGCGUGCUUAACACAUGCAAGUCGAACGAAGCAACUUAUUACGAUCCCUUCGGGGUGACGAUUUGUUGACUGAGUGGCGGACGGGUGAGUAACGCGUGGGUAACCUACCUUGUACAGGGGGACAACAGUUGGAAACGACUGCUAAUACCGCAUAAGCGCACAGUAUCGCAUGGUACAGUGUGAAAAGUUUUUUCGGUACAAGAUGGACCCGCGUCUGAUUAGCUAGUUGGUGAGGUAACGGCUCACCAAGGCGACGAUCAGUAGCCGACCUGAGAGGGUGACCGGCCACAUUGGGACUGAGACACGGCCCAAACUCCUACGGGAGGCAGCAGUGGGGAAUAUUGCACAAUGGGCGCAAGCCUGAUGCAGCGACGCCGCGUGAGCGAAGAAGUAUUUCGGUAUGUAAAGCUCUAUCAGCAG